rnacentral:rRNA from 1 species
GACGAACGCUGGCGGCGUGCUUAACACAUGCAAGUCGAACGAAGAGCGAUGGAAGCUUGCUUCUAUCAAUCUUAGUGGCGAACGGGUGAGUAACGCGUAAUCAACCUGCCCUUCAGAGGGGGACAACAGUUGGAAACGACUGCUAAUACCGCAUACGAUCUAAUCUCGGCAUCGAGGAAAGAUGAAAGGUGGCCUCUAUUUAUAAGCUAUCACUGAAGGAGGGGAUUGCGUCUGAUUAGCUAGUUGGAGGGGUAACGGCCCACCAAGGCGAUGAUCAGUAGCCGGUCUGAGAGGAUGAACGGCCACAUUGGGACUGAGACACGGCCCAGACUCCUACGGGAGGCAGCAGUGGGGAAUCUUCCGAAAUGGACGAAAGUCUGACGGAGCAACGCCGCGUGAGUGAUGACGGCCUUCGGGUUGUAAAGCUCUGUUAAUCGGGACGAAAGGCCUUCUUGCGAACAGUUAGAAGGAUUGACGGUACCGGAAUAGAAAGCCACGGCUAACUACGUG